GGAAGCCGUAUGAGCUGAGAGGUUCACGUACGGUUUUGCGAGGGUCUUGGGUGAAAUUCCCAGGUCUACUCAGC
rnacentral:ncRNA from 1 species